rnacentral:rRNA from 1 species
UACGUAGGGCGCAAGCGUUAUCCGGAAUUAUUGGGCGUAAAGAGCUCGUAGGCGGUUUGUCGCGUCUGCCGUGAAAGUCCGGGGCUCAACUCCGGAUCUGCGGUGGGUACGGGCAGACUAGAGUGAUGUAGGGGAGACUGGAAUUCCCGGUGUAGCGGUGAAAUGCGCAGAUAUCGGGAGGAACACCGGUGGCGAAGGCGGCUACCUGGACAGAUACUGACACUGAGGCGCGAGAGCGUGGGGAGCAAACAGG